rnacentral:lncRNA from 1 species
GCGCGGGUCACAUGGUCGCGCUGCCCUCCCCGUCAGCCUCCCUCGCCGCCGCGGUGCUGGCUGCAGGAAGCCGCCGCGCCGCCGCUUUUGUUGUCACGGUCCCCGCGAGGAGGGCCGCGCGCCCGGCCGCUGCCGCCCUCUCCCUGCAGCCCGCGCCAGGCUGCGGGGCCUGGGUCUCGCCCGCCCCGCCCAUGAGCGCGCUCCGCGACCACCGCCGUCUCCGGCCCGGGGCGGCGCGGCUCUGAGGCGGGCAGCGGACGGCCCCGGCCCCUCCCAGAGGGCACCAUGGAGGUGAAUGCGGGUAAGACCCGGGCUGCGGAGGGCGGGGGAGUCCAAGGGGGCUUCUCGGGGGCGGCGGGCGGCAUGUUCGCGAGUCGGCGCGGUGGGCUGCUGAGCGCGGUGCGUCCAUCCCAGGCCCGGCUCCCGGUGACCCCCAGGCCGCUUCGCGCCAGCCCUCACGGCUCCCCGCAACGCCGCAGCGCGGCCCGGCGGCGCCCAGCCCGGCCCCCCCCUCACAUGGCCCGGCCGCGCGAGCCACGUGCGCGCUGUGUUUACGUUCGGCGGCGCGCGGGCGCCGGUUGGCUGGGCGGGCGCGUGACGCGACAUUACAUAAUGGGUGCUGAGGCGGCGGCGGCGGGCGCGGACACGUGAGGCCGCUCGGCUCUGUGACCCACAUUCCCCGGGGCCGCAAGAUACGUGGGGGCGGGCGCGCGCCGGCGGGGAGCGCCGCAGCCUCCCGGGAGGCCCCGCCCCGUCGGAACCCUCUGGGCUGUGACGUGGCCGCGAUUCCCGUCUCCCCCGCGGGGGUGCACACUGCGGAGGAGGCCGCGCGUGCGUCGGCCGCCGCCUACUCCCUGCCGGGAGGUGACCCAGACGCGAGGAACCCGGGCCGGGCAGGCGCCUGGGGGUGCUGCAGCCGCAGACCUUGCGGAUCCGGAGGAAGGGAGGGAUGCGGGGCGAGGGUGCGGCACAUCAAGAGUGAGAUCCUGGAGCGAAGCGUGGGGCUGCCGGGAUGGGAGACCUCGGAGCAGCGCCCGGGGCGGGCAGCACCGGCACUUAAGAGCCCGCCUCGACAUCGACCCCUCCCCCAGAAGUUCCCUCUUGGACGCUUUAUACCCCCAGAAAUCUUAAAAACAGCUCGGGAGUCACCUUUGGGCCGGGCCUUUGCACACUGUAACUGUGGUCAGGAUGACUCAGGAGGUGUGAUUGCCUAUAUCAGCUCUUCCAGCUCAGCCUCUAGCCCUGCCUCUUGCCACAGUGAGGGUUCUGAAAACAGUUUCCAGUCCUCCUCCUCUUCUGUUCCAUCUUCUCCAAAUAGCUCUAAUUCUGAUGUCAAUGGUAAUCACAAGAAUGGUGAUCUCUCCAAUAUAGAAGGCAUCCUGAAGAAUGAUCGAGUAGAUUGUUCUAUGAAGACAAGCAAGUCAAGUGUUCCUGGGAUGACAAAGAGUCAUAGUGGUGUGACAAGUAAGUUACCUUAGUAAUUUAAAGAUCACUGCAAUUAAUUGCAGAUUGGGUUUAUUUUACCACCUUAGAUUUGAGAGACCAAUGUAGUUCUGGCUAUAAUUUGUACUCCCUUCUGGAUAAUCACAGAUCAGUACUUAGGAAGAAAUCAAUGAUGACUGUAGAAGUUAACAUGUUUCUCCCAGGAUGCUCCCUUUUACAUUAUUCACAGUUACCUUUCUUCUGGAUUCCUAGUACUGAAUCUUGUUUCUAGAACAGUAUUAGCUUGUGGGAAAGGAUUUCCUCUGAUGACAUUGAGGUUGGGAACAUUUGGGAGUAGGAAACAAAGCAGCAUUGGGAUAACCAGCGGGUGACUAGUGGGAUUGGACUCCUAAGUGAGUGUGGAGGUAACAAAGACUGUGAGAAGGGAGGGUAAAGAAGGAGUGGGACCUCUUUAGCUCCUGUAGGUGAACUGAAUAAGUUCAGGUGCCUGUGGAGACAUUUCUUUGCCUUGUUUAUUAAUUGAUUUUCCCAUAUCUCUUUGUGUUGUU